UUUAAGAGAGUUGUGAUCCCCACCGGCGUGUUAAAGAGGGUUUAGUAUCCCCACCGGCGUUUUGAAGAGGGUUUAGUAUCCCCACCGGCGUGUUAAAGAGGGUUUAGUAUCCCCACCGGCGUUUUGAAGAGGGUUUAGUAUCCCCACCGGCGUGUUACAGAGGGUUUAGUAUCCCCACCGGCGUUUUAAGAGAGUUGUGAUCCCCACUGGCGUGUUAAAGAGGGUUUAGUAUCCCCACCGGCGUUUUGAAGAGGGUUUAGUAUCCCCACCGGCGUGUUAAAGAGGGUUUAGUAUCCCCACCGGCGUUUUAAGAGAGUUGUGAUCCCCACCGGCGUGUUAAAGAGGGUUUAGUAUCCCCACCGGCGUUUUGAAGAGGAUUUAGUAUCCCCACCGGCGUGUUAAAGAGGGUGUAGUAUCCCCACCGGCGUUUUAAGAGAGUUGUGAUCCCCACUGGCGUGUUAAAGAG
ensembl:lncRNA